UUGAGCCAGUCUGAAUUCCUUCCAGACAGCCUGGGGAAAUGGAGCGGGCCGGGCCGUGAGGCGCCGCCCGGCUGCCAUGCCGCUCUGCGUCCCUCAGAGCCUGCCGUCCCUGUCAGGAGCUCCCGGAUGGCGGAGAGCUGCAGGACUUGCAGGUCCAUUGCAACACAGCAAGGCAGAAACUGUCCAAGGGUGCUGGUGACUCCUUUUAAUGUCACCCUUUCUUCCUUUGCUCAUAACUAAAAACCCCUCUCCCCUGACUACCUGUGCAGUCAUGUAUGGGCCCGGCGCUCCCAGCCUCCAGGCGUUCCCGGGAAGCGGCUUCCUCCUGACCCUCACGGUUACGGGGCUUAGUGUUUUGCAGAUUCACUAACUAGAGAAAUUUGCCAUCCCAAAGUAUUAUGAAUCUUACAUACUGGGGAGAAGAAGCAAGGAGAUGAAGUCACAGAGGAAAGAGAAAGCAAUAAAAAGAGGACUGUUGGACAUCUGAAUUACUGUGUAAUAUCUGGGGCCUGUUCCAGCUGUUGAAUUCGGCGUGCAUGCUUCUGUGAUUCAUCACCUGUGAUAAGAAAAUUGAGCUGCAGGAGCACCACAGGCCAAAGAGUCUGUACCAGCACUGCAUGUCCUCACAAUUUGCACUUUUGCUGGUAAAAGACCAUGUAGGUCUUUUGUCACAUUUUGAUGCAAUGCACUAUGGGAUGUGAAGUAAUGCAUCACGAGGAAAGCAGGUCUCACCACAGGCACAGUAGAGUUUUCAGUUUUUCUGUGUGGUGCAAAUGAGAAAUUUAGAACAUAAAACAUGGGGUAAAUGGUGAGAAAUGGACAAUCUCCUUCCCAGUGUGUAAUUCUGACACACUCGCUUCUCUUACAUUUGUCACAUCUGUGGGCUCAAGUGUCCCCAGUCUCUGGUGGUACCUGUGUCAAUGGACAUGCCUCUAGCUUGGAUUUCAAAGAGCUGCCCAGUAAAGGAACAUCCAUCCUGGUGGUGAACCAAUUUUUAGUUAUGUUCUGGCCGGCUGAGAUAAUUAAACUUAUGGAGGAGGAAUUUCUUGGCAAGGAAGAAAAAGGGUUCUACAACAAAGAUGUGGGACUUGAAGUAAUUUGUGAAGCUGUUCAUUUACCACCUGAAUUUUAUUAACUGAUUUGGCUCAUCUGAAGAAAUUUCCAUGUAUUUGUCGAUCUAAAGCAAACAACAGAAGCUGCAAAAUCUUCCUGUAUGAAAGAAAACUUUUCCAAGCACAAAUAAAGAGAUAAGAAGAAUGCUGCCGGUGAGCCACCAGGAAAAUUUCCAUCACACUCUAUGACUUUGGACAGUGGUUGAUGGGGUGGUUGUCGUAGGGGGAAGCAGGAGAACAGCAGGAUCCUAAGAGACAGUGGGAUAGUGGGAGGUGAAAGAAUUGUCCACCAGCUUUGGAAGCUCAACAUUGGACCACAAGCAAAGUUUACUGUGAUGUUGGAUAACGAUGGAGUGCAUUUCCACUAAAGUAUCAAGAACACAUUAUUCCUGAAGCUGACCACAGGGACCCUGCUGUGUUGGGAUACCUGAGUUGAGUUUCUUGCAUAUUUAAAUAGACAUGACCAUUUUGGUAACUCUCCUGGAAGUAAUUUAUUUCUUUAUUAGAAAUUAUAUAAAAGUGCUCAAGAGCACUAAGAAUCUUCAAAGUCUAGACAAAUAAUUAUAUGGAAUGAAGGAGGCCAAACUGGGUUACUAAAACACAGUAUCCAAACUGUUGUUGAGAUACAGAGAGGCCAUUCAUUGAUCUUAGGUUGCCUUUUCUUUACAGGAGCAUCCAUCUAUCCCAGGGUGCAAAUAGAUCUUUGCAUUAUUUCUUCUACUGAAGGCUUUACAAGGCCACCCUCACAGGGACCAAGAGAGACAAUCAGUGGGAGCACAUAUUUCUGAUUUAACUUGUAUUUUUUAUUAAUACUAAGUUGGUAUUGAAACAAAUGAGGUGAACACCAGUUUGCUUGUAAGAAGAACUUGCUCAUGAUCAUCUGGCAUGUCAUUUAAACAAGCCUGCUUCCUCAUUACAAUGUAGAGGGGAGCUCGGGGAGGCACUCAGGACCCUCAAAAGAAAAGACUACAUGUAUACUAAUAAAAUUGUGAAGUCUGGUGUUCUUAAACCCUGCAGCCAGAGUAAACAGAAUAUAUAGCAAUAUAUAACAUUCUUAAAAUAAAAAUCUCCAUCCAAACCACCUGCUAGAAAAGGCCACCCCCAUGCCAGGAGAGCCUACUGUUUGGUAGAGGGAUCCAUCCCAGGGACCAUACUGGUAGUACAGCAAAAUGCAGAGGAGCAAAUUUCUGUGCUUGGAACUCUUUAAACUGUUUACUCAGCUGGAGAUAUGCUAUCAAAUAGUAGAGAAACCUCUGAAGGUUGUUUCCACUGCUGUUUCCUUGCUGUAGCUAUGACAGGAUAAUUUGGAGUCCAAACACUUGUUCUUCUUUGUUGCUCUGUAAGAGUGGGUCAAGGUGCCCUCCUCACAUGAAGCCUUUUCCUGAAUCCCUUUCUCUUCUAUGGUCUUUCUUUCUCUUUGUUGUAGUGUAAUCUCAGCAAAAAGAACCCCUCUGACACAAAAGACAGCUUCUCUGUUCUUUGAUUUAGGGAUUUUCCUAUUGUGUGUGUGUACCUCCCCAGAGAAAAACAGGUUUCCCGUUGGGCUUUCUCUUUAGUUCAAGCACUGUUCAUCCACUGCUAAUGACAUUUUUGUUUGUGCUGUAACACUUUCCAAAAGGGUGGGGAGAGGCAUUGGAAAAUCUUCUGAUGGCUAGCUGUGUAUUGAAGUGUUUAACGACACAGCAAUUUCAUAACAAGGAUUGGGAUUAUUUACAUUACCUAACAAAUGCCCCAAAACACCAGGCUACACUCACAAGGCCUAAUCCUGGCUUAAAGAGCAGCUCUUCACUCUCUGUUCACCAAAAUAUUCUUUCAUUUUUUAAUUUAAAAAUUUUAGCUGUCUUGUUUUAAUAAAUAUAUUCAAGUGGCAUUUCACUAUAAAAUGUUGAGCCAGUACAUCUUGGGCUUGCCAUGUUUUGGUAGCAUGUGGUGGCUAUAGGAGCAGCGUCUAUUAGAAGAUUCCAGAAGUUUCCCAUUUGUCCAAAGGGGCCAAUGUCAGCCAGAAACAAGACAGACCUGCUGCUGGCCAAAGCUGAGCUCUUCCACUGGAGAGGAAGCAGUGGAGAUAUUGGGAAUGAAUUUGAGCUCAGGAAGAAGGGAAGCACAGAGGAAGAUGUUUUAAGUUUUAUUUUUCAUUCACAUUACAUUGAUCUGAUUUGAUUGUUAGUAAAUUAAGCUAAUUUCCAGAAGCUGAGUUUGUUGUG